rnacentral:rRNA from 1 species
UACGUAGGGUGCGAGCGUUAAUCGGAAUUACUGGGCGUAAAGCGUGCGCAGGCGGUUCGUUAAGUCAGAUGUGAAAGCCCCGGGCUCAACCUGGGAAUGGCGAUGGAUACUGGCUCGCUAGAGUGCGGUAGAGGAGAGUGGAAUUCCCGGUGUAGCAGUGAAAUGCGUAGAGAUCGGGAGGAACAUCAGUGCGAAGGCGGCUCUCUGGACCAGCACUGACACUGAGGCACGGAAAGCGUGG